UACGGGGGGAGCAAGCGUUGUUCGGAUUUACUGGGCGUAAAGGGCGCGUAGGCGGUCAGCACAAGUCAGUUGUGAAAUCUCCGGGCUUAACCCGGAAAGGUCAACUGAUACUGUGCGACUAGAGUGCGGUAGGGGAGACUGGAAUUCCUGGUGUAGCGGUGAAAUGCGCAGAUAUCAGGAGGAACACCGGUGGCGAAGGCGGGUCUCUGGGCCGUAACUGACGCUGAGGAGCGAAAGCAUGGGGAGCGAACAGG
rnacentral:rRNA from 1 species